GGGCCCGUGGUCUAGUGGUAUGACGCCGCCCUCACGCGGCGGAAAUCGCCGGUUCGAAUCCGGCCGGGCCCA
rnacentral:tRNA from 1 species